GACGAACGCUGGCGGCGUGCCUAACACAUGCAAGUCGAACGAGGUGCUUUUGUAGCAAUACGAGAGUAUCCUAGUGGCGAACGGGUGAGUAACGCGUUGGUGACCUACCCCAAAGUGUGGGAUAACAGUCCGAAAGGAUUGCUAAUACCGCAUGUGGUCAUUGGAUUUAGAAACUGAUGACUAAAGGAGCAAUUCGCUUUGGGAGGGACCUGCGUCCCAUCAGCUAGUUGGUGAGGUAACGGCUCACCAAGGCGACGACGGGUAGGGGACCUGAGAGGGUGGCCCCCCACAAUGGAACUGAAACACGGUCCAUACACCUACGGGUGGCAGCAGUAGGGAAUAUUGCUCAAUGGGCGAAAGCCUGAAGCAGCAACGCCGCGUGUGCGAUGAAGGCCUUCGGGUCGUAAAGCACUUUUCUGCGAGAUGAGAAAGGACAGUAUCGUAGGAAUAAGUCUCGGCUAACUACGUGCCAGCCGCCGCAGUAACAC
rnacentral:rRNA from 1 species